rnacentral:rRNA from 1 species
UACAGAGACUGCAAGCGUUAUUCGGAUUCACUGGGCGUAAAGGGUGCGUAGGCGGCGCGGUAAGUCGGGUGUGAAAUCUUGGAGCUUAACUCCGAAAUUGCACUGGAUACUGCUCUGCUUGAGGGUUGGAGAGGAGAUCGGAAUUCACGGUGUAGCAGUGAAAUGCGUAGAUAUCGUGAGGAAGACCAGUGGCGAAGGCGGAUCUCUGGACAAAUCCUGACGCUGAGGCGCGAAGGCUAGGGGAGCAAACGGG